UACGGGGGGGGCAAGCGUUGUUCGGAAUUACUGGGCGUAAAGGGCUCGUAGGUGGCCGACUAAGUCGGACGUGAAAUCCCUCAGCUUAACUGGGGAACUGCGUCCGAUACUGGAUGGCUUGAGUUUGGGAGAGGGAUGCGGAAUUCCAGGUGUAGCGGUGAAAUGCGUAGAUAUCUGGAGGAACACCGGUGGCGAAGGCGGCAUCCUGGACCAACACUGACACUGAGGGGCGAAAGCCAGGGGAGCAAACGGG
rnacentral:rRNA from 1 species